rnacentral:rRNA from 1 species
GAUGAACGCUGGUGGCGUGCCUAAUACAUGCAAGUCGAGCGAACGGACGAGAAGCUUGCUUCUCUGAUGUUAGCGGCGGACGGGUGAGUAACACGUGGAUAACCUACCUAUAAGACUGGGAUAACUUCGGGAAACCGUAGCUAAUACCGGAUAGUAUUUUGAACCGCAUGGUUCAAAAGUGAAAGACGGUCUUGCUGUCACUUAUAGAUGGAUCCGCGCUGCAUUAGCUAGUUGGUAAGGUAACGGCUUACCAAGGCAACGAUGCAUAGCCGACCUGAGAGGGUGAUCGGCCACACUGGAACUGAGACACGGUCCAGACUCCUACGGGAGGCAGCAGUAGGGAAUCUUCCGCAAUGGGCGAAAGCCUGACGGAGCAACGCCGCGUGAGUGAUGAAGGUCUUCGGAUCGUAAAACUCUGUUAUUAGGGAAGAACAUAUGUGUAAGUAACUGUGCACAUCUUGACGGUACCUAAUCAGAAAGCCACGGCUAACUACGUG